AAGGAAGUCGGUGAUGCAGGGGGAAGGUAUUAGCAACCCUCAUAUCUGUUGUACUCAGCGGGAACCAUUUUGAUUAUUAUUUGCUGGAAUGAGUAUUACUAUCUAAAGAUUAAUUGAAAAUGAUAUGAAAAAGAGGAUAAAAAGAAUUGAAUAAUUAAUAUGCUUGGUGAGGAUUAGGGCCCUCAUGCAUACGUAUCCUUAUAGUAC
rnacentral:lncRNA from 1 species